GCCCGGGGAGGUGCUUCCGGCCCGUGCCGCUCCGCCGGCGGCUCCCGGGAAUCCGGGGGGUCCUGGGAAUCCGGGGGAUCCCGGGGCUGCCUCCUGUCCCCCCAAGGGCUCCCCCGCUGCUCUGAUCCCCCGGGGGUCUCACUGCCCCACUCUGUGUCUCCCCACUCUCCCCCCGGGCCCUGAGGGCAAAGGCGGGUCCCUGUGAGGGCCUUGCCCCCUUCCUCCGCUCAUCAUCCCAUAUCCCCCGAGAGCCGCGACCACGGCGGGUUAUGCCCCUUCCCGCGCGGGUGGGACCGCACAGACCCUCCCCGGCGCCACCACCCCCUCCCUGUUUUCCCGGUGAGUUUUUUCCCGGUGAGCUUUCCCGGUGAUUCCCUCCCGCCCCCGCCAUGGAGUUCGCCGAGCUGAUCAAGACGCCCCGCGCCGACAAUGUGGUGCUGCACCGGCCGUUCCACGCGGCCGUGGAGGGGACGCUGUGCCUGACCGGCCACCACCUCAUCUUCUCGUCCCGCCGCCACGACAACGCCGAGGAGCUGUGGCUGCUCCACUCCAACAUCGACUCCUGCGAGAAAAGGUUCGUGGGAUCGUUGGGCACCAUUGUCAUAAAGUGCAAAGACCUGAGGAUCAUCCAGCUGGACAUCCCUGGGAUGGAGGAAUGUCUGAACAUCGCCAGCUCCAUCGAGGUCCUUUCCACCCUGGAUUCUGUCACCCUCCUGUAUCCCUUCUUCUACCGGCCCAUGUUCGAGGUGCUGGAGGACGGCUGGCGCUCCUUCCUGCCUGACCAGGAGUUUGAGCUCCUCAGCUCAGUGACAGAUGAGUGGCGUCUCAGCUGCAUCAAUAAGGAAUUCUCUGUGUGUCCCUCCUACCCUCCAGUUGUCAUUGUCCCCAAAUGCAUCACCGACGACGAGCUCCGGAAGGUCGCCAUGUUCCGCCAUGGCAGUCGCUUCCCAGUGCUCAGCUACUACCACAGGAAGAAUGGGAUGAUCAUGAUGAGAAGCAGCCAACCCCUUACAGGUACGAACGGGAGACGCUGCAAGGAGGACGAGAAGCUGAUCAACGCCUCGCUCCGGCCCGGCAAACGUGGCUACAUCAUUGACACCAGGUCCUUGAAUGUGGCCCAGCAGGCCAGGGCCAAAGGAGGGGGCUUUGAGCAAGAAGUCCACUAUCCCCAGUGGAGGAGGAUUCACAAGGGUAUCGAGAGGUUUAAUAUCCUGCAGGAAAGCCUCAUCAAACUGGUGGAAGCUUGUAAUGACCAGUCCCACAACAUGGACCGCUGGCUCAGUAAACUGGAAGCUUCCAACUGGCUGACUCAUGUCAAGGAGAUCCUGACCACGGCUUGUCUGGCUGCUCAGUGCAUUGACAGGGAAGGUGCAUCAGUGUUAGUCCAUGGGACUGAAGGAACUGAUUCCACGCUCCAGGUCACUUCUCUGGCACAGAUUAUCCUGGAUCCAAGGUGCAGGACCAUCCGUGGCUUUGAGUCUCUUGUUGUGAGGGAGUGGCUGCAGGCUGGUCACCCUUUCCAGCAGCGCUGUGCCCAGUCAGCCUAUUCCAACAGCAAACAGAAGUGGGAGGCCCCGGUGUUCCUGCUUUUCCUGGACUGUGUGUGGCAGAUCCUUCGGCAGUUCCCUUGCUCCUUCGAGUUCAAUGAACAGUUCCUCAUCAUGCUCUUUGAACAUGCUUAUGCUUCCCAGUUUGGGACUUUCCUGGGAAACAAUGAAAGUGAAAGGGCUAAACUGAAGCUGCCUCAAAAGACCAUGUCCCUGUGGUCCUGGGUGAACAGGAAUGAAGAGCUGAGCAAAUUCCAGAAUCCCAUUUAUGAGGCCAACAGCUUGGUCAUCUGGCCCGCCGUGGCCCCACAGAGCCUACAGCUCUGGGCAGGUGUCUUCCUCCGGUGGAACAGGCCUUCCCAGUACCUGGAGGAAGCCCAAGAAGAAAUGGUGAAGAUUAUAAAAUACAACAAGGAACUCCAGGACAAGGUGAAGGUGUUGAGGAGGCAGCUGGCAGAGCUGGAGGCGGCUGCGAGGGUGCAGCACAACCCGUGAGCUGCCCGCGCUUUGCCUCAGGUCCUUCCUUUCCAGCCCCCUCUACACUAAAGACUGAACGUGGAAAAGUGCAUGUGUUGCUGAGCCCUUGGGCCCAGCUGCCCUCAGCCCUCCCACUGCUGAAACCUUCACACUAUGAACCUCCCUGCUCUCCCGGGAGGGAUUUUUGUUUUGUUUACAGAAGACACAGCUGGGCACAGUGUCCUCUCUUGGCCGCUUCUCUGUCUCAGCGUUGUGUACAGUGUCAGCAGGAGCUGGAACUCUUUACCUCCAACUGUGUGGAUGACCAGGAUGGGCCAAGAGACAGGAUGUCUCCAAUUUAUUUUGGACUUUUUCUGGGUUUGUUGAACUCUCUAAACACUCACAGGAUUAAAAUACAGACUUCUACAUAGAUAGGUAAAGGCAUUUUGUCUGAAAGCACUUUUUCUCCCCAAGAGUAGGUAAGGCAGCUUAGUUCUUUAGUUUCCUAGAAAAACUAGAAAUUGUUAAAAUCUAACUACAGUUUCUGCCAGUCUACACAAUUCUCUCAGUAGCCUUCACAUCUGACACUUGGGUUUUUGUGUUCAGCAUUGGCUUGGGAGCAGAAAUUUAAAUACCAAACCAGAGCAAGACUUUUCAGUGCAAUACAGAACUGAAGUAGGGAUUCUGCUGCUAAUGUUUAAGCCAUGACUUCCAGGUGGAAUUGUCCCUCAUGGAUAAAUAUCUCCUAAGAAAUAACAAGCUUCUUUUAUUCUGCCUGGAAAACAAAAAAGGUUUGGUAGCUGCUGGAGGUGUUCACUUGCAGAACAGGGGCUCAGAGCUGUCCUUUUACCCAGAUCCAAGCUGCCUUCUUGGAAUUUCCAAGUCCCCUGGCUGGGUUUGGACACCUGGCCAGGUUCACAGCAUUGCAUCUACAGCUCAGCAAAGCACUUUUGCUCCAGCUGAUGUGCUUUUCCCCCUUGUGCUCUUAUAUCCAUGUUGUGAAACCUCAAAAAAGCAGGAGCUGGAAGUUCAGGUGACCUCCCAGAUCUGCUGCAGAUUAAGGGGCCAUCACACUACAGAAAUGCUCAGAGUUUAGAUGAUUUGUAGCUGCUAAAAUUACUUAAAGACUUUAGGGAUAAGCUUUUUUUUUUCCAUUUAACUUUGUAUUUUGUCGCUGCUCUUCCUGUUUCUGCAACUUCAAUCUGCUUUCAUGAAAUCAGAGUUUUCUUUAGCGAUUUUUUUUCUCCUUUCAAAAGACAGGUAAGAGUAGGUCUGAAAUACUCAUUUUCUCAGCUCAAUUCCAUGGAUGGACAGGACUGAGAAGAGUUGAAUUAACAGCAGCACAUGUGGCUGGGAUUAUCCAGAAAUCUUGCUGUUACUGAAAUGGAGCUGCAGGAGGUCGGUGGUGUUCUCUUUGGAAACUGUUGAGCUUCCAGUUUGGGGAAUGAAGCUGCCUUUAUUUAAAAGCCACUUUCACACAGAUAAAAAUGCAGGAUCUUUAGUUGUCGUAGAAGCAGCUGGAGAGUGAUCUGCAAAAAUCAUGUGGCCACUAAAUAUAUUCUAAGGAAAUCCUAUAACCAAGGAAGCAAUAUAAAAUUAUGUUAUAGUGAUUAAGUGCUACCUUAAUGCCUCUUGUUCACUCUUUAUUUCCUUAAUUCUUUUCUUCUUGACUAACCUAAACUUAGCCCUAAAGUCAUGAAAAAAUACCAAGAUCCCUUUUAAGCCACUGAAGGCAGAAAAGUAAUUCUCCCUGCUUGUAACACUGAUUUCUUUUUAGGUUUGGAGAGUGAUGGUUUUGUUCACUAAAUCAAGUCUGACACAGGGAAUGCUGCUCAGGGUGAUCUGUCCUGCAUCACAGGGGAGGCACAAUUUGGCUGUUCCCUCUUCCCACCUCCAAAUCUGGCUGCUGGAGAUACCUCUGGCUGAACAGGUUCUGUGAUUGUAGAAGAGGGAUGGAAGGAGAAGGUUGAGACCCUGAGGCUGUGAGUGGCUGGCAGAGCUCUGAUAUCAAGGUUUUGGUCCUUGGACACCAGCUCUGCACAUGAUGGAUAAAUAAUUAGCUUGGCCAAAGUUUUUUGCUGGUAUUGAACUCUCCAAAGGCAGAGAGGUAGGGGUAUUCAGAGGGAAAAGGGUUUGGACUGAAACAAAGCCCUGUGGAAGGGAGAUGGUGACAGAAGGGGGAAUGGUUUUAAACUAAAAGAGGAGAUUUAGGUUAGAGGAAAAUUCUUCCCUGUAAGAGUGGUGAGGCCCUGGCACAGGUUGCACAGAGAAGCUGUAGCUGCCCCAUCCCUGGAAGUGUCCAAGGCCAGGUUGGACAGGGCUUGGAGCAACCUGGGAUAGUGGGAGGUGUCCCUACCCAAGGUAGGGGGUUGAAAUGAGAUGGUUUUUAAGGUUCCUUCCAACCUAAACUGUUCUGUGACUAUGAGGUCCAUCCAAAGACCUGGGGUCACAGUUACCUGUUGUUUUUGAGGGACAUGGGGGUACCGUGGUGCACUUGCCAGGGGAAGGAACAAAAAAAGACUAAACAGCUCUUGGGAAAUGGAGGCUGGGAACUGUGGAAGCUCCUGGAUCUCUCCCUGUUGGUGAGUCAGGAGUCUGGGAACCACUGGGCUUUCUGUUUCCCUGCAGUGUCAUCUGUGGUCUCUGCAACUCCUUGGGAAGGUGCUUAGGGAGGUACACGCCCAGUUUCCAGGACUGCACAUCCCAGUCGGAGGUGGUACCAUCCAGGAUGGUCUCUUUCCUGGCAUGAAAAACACUUGUGAUGUGCCAGCAAAGCACCAGACUGGGAUUUGGGAGAGUGAAGUCCUAGUCCUGCCGCUGCCACAGGAUUGCUGGUGUCAUCUCGAGUCUCUUCACCAAGGAACCACAGGGACAGCACAUCCCUAUGGCAGGAGCUUUGCUGUGUGUCCAGGUGUCCUGAAAGGCUGGGAAGAGCUUCUUUCCCUCAGCUAUCCAAGCACAGUGGGUGCAAGUUCAGCAAGGGCAGAGGGGAGCAGGAUGAGACCACAAAACCCCACAGAAUGUGUAGGAGGGGAUGGGAGGGAGAUCAAGCCUGAGGUUCUGGGAGAGGCUGUUUGUGAAAGCUUUGAACAAGCAGCACUUCUGGAUGCUCCAUGGGAAAAGGGAGGAAAAAGGCAGUGGUGUAGAGUGGGGAGAGUGACAGGAACAGUCUUAGAGCCACCAUGGCUGCCUAGGAGAGGAUGGACAGUGCUUGUCUGCUGAUGGAGAUUCCCAGCAGCAGAAGUCAUUCCCAACAACCCUGGUCACCAUCCUGGCAGUGCUCAGAGUCCCAGCAUGGAGAAGUCCCUCACCACAGGCUAUGCAAAGGAUGCUUAGGAAUUUCCGGUUUACUGUGUGUUAAUAAACUGCCCCUCCUGGAGAGUGGGAAUGGUCUGGGGCUUUUCUUGGUCCUGGGUGACACCAUGUUAAAUUUCUUGCAGUUUUGGAACUGUUUGAGGCAGGAAGAAAUGGGAUCAACUGCUGAGGAAUCAGAUCCCUCAGGGACUGGCUGCAUAUGUUGCUCUCCAAAUCAGGAGCAUCCCUAAAUCUGUAACCCAGCUGCUGUUCCAGGGUGUCUGAGUGAGGGAGGUGGAUAAUGUGCUGUGAGGAUCAAGCUGUUCCUCUUCUGAGUUAAAAUCAGCCUUUUGCUGCCCUCUCUCCCUGUUUUCAGCUGCCUGGAUUUCCUUCUGCUGAGAAACCUCAACACCCAGCCCAGAUCCCUCUCAUUAUGGCCUUGAGAGGCAGAGCAGCUUGUUGGAACAUGUCCUGCUCUCUUCCCUUUGAUUUGCAUUCCCAAUAUUCCCUUGUUAGUCUGUUAAUGAACUUCAGGUUGUUUUUUUAUGUUUGAAGUCUUUCGGACAUGGAUUUAUAUUAUUUAAAAAAAAAAAAAAAA